CCUAUUUGUCAGGGAUCAACUUUCUUUGACGGAAUAUAAGAGGGAGGAACAUGGAUACUCCAUCAUACACCCAUGAAAUUGAUGAGAAGGAUAAUGAUAGAGCUAUGGAUGGACUGCAAGAUAGAGCCCUUUUACUGAAGAGAAUUAAGCCAUGCGGAAAAGUAAUAAUGAUAUAGCCAAAAUCUAAAGGUAUCACGGUAUACUCUUCCUUUUCCGGUUCACAUUGCAUCUGAAUUAGUUUUUAUGAUUUUGCUUUGCAUUUUUGUUUAGUUAAAAGCAUUAUAUUUGAAUUGAAUACAAACACGUACGUGCUACUUAGUUGAUUUUACAUAACUAAGUUUUGUAGUAUAGCCUUUUGAUAUCACAAUCCUUAAUGAGUUCAAUUUUGUUAUGGCAUUUAAAAGUAAGAAGAUAAUAAAGUUUUGAUAUACACAAUCCUUCAUGAUCUUUUCAAAGUAUUACUUAUAAGCAAAAUCAUACUGUAGAGAGACAAUAAAUUUUUCUUUUCUGGAUCAACUUCAGGAACGACAAUAGAUAUACAGGAAAUAAACUAUUUUUCAAAUUGAAUAAAUUAUGGAUAGUCAAUGUGACUUGCCUCAGGCCAGAACUGAAUAAAAAGUAAACAUGAAUAUCAAUAUGUUAUGCUAAAUCAAACAAGUAUUAAUAAUUUAUAAUAGAACUUCCGAAUAGACAAUGUUAGUUGUCUCCAGAUUAUCCAUUCCAUUUUCCAAAAGCACCGUUAUCCUAUUUGCCGCAGUGCACCUCGAUAAAGCGACAUAUAGUUGGCAUUGGAUGAACACAUGAGUUCGUAAAUCGAUCCCAACGUACUUUACAGACUAACCUUGUGAUUUGUUAAUCGUUAUUGCAUAUGCUAGCCGAACCGGAAACUGACGUCUUGUCAUAUUUAUAUUCAGUUCUGUAACCGAUGGUUGAAACAAUAUUCUUGGCAGUAAUACCUUGUCCCCUGCUUUGUGUCCGGUUAGAAUUUUUGCUUAAAGUACAUGUUUACCACAUUUAGUAACCAACAGCCUUGUACCAUUGCAAAGACCCUCUGAUGGAGCUAGAUUUCUGAUCAGGAUAACUGAACAACCAAUUUUAAGUUGUAGCUUGAAUAAAGGCAAUCCAGGUGGACUCAAGUUCUGCAAAAAUUCACUACUGUAAUUUGGUAUAACACCGCUUUCGUCGGCAUUCAGUUUGUCUGCAGCUAAAUAUGUGUAUGUCUCACCAUCUAAAAUAUCCAAUGCUUCUUUGUUUAUCUCGUUGGCAUCAUCAUUACAUGCUGAUAGAAUGAUUCUCUCAGUUAGUUUUUCAUCUGAUACCUGAUCAUAUGUCCCCAAACAUGGAUAGAGUUAAGAUAUGAGUUCUUUCAUAUCUUUGCAUCUACGCACCGAAGAAGAGAGUUGAAUCAUUUCUUCUGGAUUUGUCCCCACCUAUCACAUUUUAUAACAUAAGUAAAAUUAUCCAUUUUAAUCUCUAAUGUUAUUAUUGUUUAAAAAAAUAUUAAUAUCACAGUGUUAAAGAACAUUAUUAUCUCUAGUAAUAUUUUCGCGAAUGCAAUGUUUUCAGGAUCCUGACUAUCAAGACGCAUAUUUUUUGUAAGUAUCAGAACAAUUAUAUUAUUUCAGGGCACAGAUUUUCUGAGGCACGCACAUACGACGUCUGCACGGCCGCCAUUCGGUAAAACUGGUAAGGUUUACCUGAAAUCUCCUCUCAUAACAACCGUAAUGCCUCCAAUAGGUAAGAACUUGUUUUCACGUACAUUUUGAAGUAGUUUAUUAACCGACUCCACACAGUAUCUAUGCUGCAUUGGUACUUCAUCCCAUAUAAUCAGUUUUACUUCUUUAAGAAGUUUUGCUUCUGAACUUUGUUUAGGAAUUGAACAUACGAUGUCUUCCUUUAUUUCUAUCGGGAUCUUAAAUGUUGAAUGUGCAGUCCUACCCCCUACCAAAAUCAACGAAGCGAUACCCGAUGAUGCAACGGUGAGCAUUACAUCUCCCUUGAAUCGGCAACUUGCAGCUAUUGUAUUAUAUACAAAUUUUUUCCCUGUUCCUGCACUACCAUUGAGGAAAAAGGAAAAUGUUUUAGCUUCUUGCCGGAUACGCGCAGUAGUUUGUCCAACAGGCGGCCUCUGGAUUCCUGUCACCGCAUGGACCGUGCACCAUACACUUCCUUAUUGUAUUAAAGAGGAAUUGAUCUUUUUUCUCAUCCGGAAAUUUAUCCAAAGAGGCUGAAACAAAUAUGUUUACCUGCUCAACUGUACGUAUUUUUUCUGAUUUAUCCAAUAAUAUUAGUAAAUGCAUAUGCAGUAAUCCACGUUUCUGAAAUUCAAUGGCGUGCACAUGACCAACAACUUUGCCAAACACAUUCUUCUUAGUUAUCUCAUUCAUGAGCGCUUUCCUUUUUAAUCCGAAAAUUCGUGCCACUAAAUCAGGACGAUGGCAUGCAUAUUGAUGUUGUAAAAGCUCGUCUUGGAUUUCUGUCCAAUUCGGAUUGGCGGUCAUAGUGAGAAAAAUAUCAGGAUGGUGGUUAAACGGUGUACUUGCCAUCUUAUCUUGGUAGAUUUCAUACAUGUAUCUUGGACUUCUAAUAUAUGAGGAUGGUAAAAUGCAUGGUGUACUUCCUUCUUCAGGUGUUAAUCCAGCAUCUUUCAUUUCUAUUAUUGAAGCAUAUUUAUCUACACGUAGCUUUAUCUGGUUAAAUCUCAUAAAAUUUAAGCGACUUUGUUCGGUCGAAGCCCACGCAUCUACUAAGAAUUCUUGGAAUAGUUUCCCUCUUCUCAGAAUUGUUGAAUAUUCUGAGUGGCGCUGAAAAAGAUAGUAACCGUAGAACUGCAUCUGAGAUAGACUUUUUUCGGUAAAAUUUUUCCAUCCCAUUGUGCAAGUUCGGUGCUCCAACCUGGCUCACCAUAAGGGAAUAAUAAAACAUAGUGCAAAGAUAGAUAUGCAGGAUGGCAUUCAUUAAUUCUUGUAAACCAUUUUCCUGAUUUUAGAUGCAAAACAAUAUCGCAAGGUGCUUUUAUGUCGCCGGGCUUUUCAGGUACAAUGACGGAUACUUCUUCCACAGUUGGAAGAUUAUAUCGCCUCUUAUCAGAUUCCUUAUUAAAAUGUAGAGACACCUGCACAGGGUUCUGAGAUGACACCUCAUUAUCUCUUAAAAUAUCGUGUGCCUGAAGAUACUUCGUAAUGAAAAUGUUGUGCUUCAGUAGUGUAUCUUGAUUAAUUUUAAGAACAUCUCUACUUAGAUUUGGAUUUCUUUUUUCUCAUAUAACCAAUGCAUGAGAUGGAUCAUAUAUGUAUAGUUUUGAGUAAAUUGCAUCCUUUCCUUCUUUAGGUGUCAAAGAUCCACUAUUAUGCCGUAAUUCACCAUGUAUUGAAAAACAUGGAGGUCAUCCUCCUUUUGAUACCCUUGUGUCGUAUUUGCAUCCUAGACUGGUAAAUGCAUUAGCAGCAUUCAAACUUCUAAUAUUUUCCCAAAACAUUUUUGAAUUAUCAUCAUCACCGUCAAAUAAUUCUCUUACUGGAUCAGGAGGUGCACGUAGUGCUGGCAGAUUAACUUUUCCUUUGUGACAACAUUUACCAAAUUUUGGGUUCUUGAAAGAUGAUUCAUACAAUUUCUCGUCAAUCCAAUGCAGAGCACCACAAAAUUGGCAGGGAACGUCCAUCCUUCCAAGAUAGUUUCUUCCGGUCUCAUUAAAGUUAACAGUAGGUACAUUUCCAACAUCUUUAGGUACAUUUACGUGUGCAUCGGCAUCAUCUUCACCCGAAGAAUAUUCAUAAUCAGUAUACUCAUCAGAAGAUAUAUCUGGAGCAGGAAUAUACCUGUUUAAAAACAAAUAACAACCAACAUUGUUAAAUCAACACUCAAAUAGAAUUUAUAUACAUUGGUACCUUCAAAUUUUAGUAUAUUACAUCUCAUUUUCAUCUGAAGUGGAUGGUGUAUGCAGAUACCGUAUUCACAUAUCACUUCCCAUAGUUAGUGUAUUCAUCUGUUAUAAACGCAAAAAAAAGAUACCUAGUCAACAUAUACAACAUCAAUAUAUUUCAUUUUUUUCGUAUUUUAGAUGUCCGAGUAGAUAUUUUCACUAAGCAGUGACUUAAUAUUGAGUAGUUAAUUUCAGUGGCCCCUGUAGCAUUGUCUUAUAUACUUACCUGAUCUUCAUAUGCAGCUUCAAAGACAUUAUGAUCUUGUGGCUCUUUUGUCCUUUUUUUUAUGGCGGUUCUGCAAUUACAAAGAAACCAAGUGAUUGAUUGAAUGACACAAUAAUAAUAACAGCAGUAUUAUAUACUUACAUUGCAUUAUUGAUUUUUUACCCUUUCUUAAUAUUUGUACCUAUUGUCACAGAUAUUCAUUCCCUAAACUUUUUUAGAUCUUAUUGCUAACAUGAACUUACUAUAUUUCAUUGUUUCCUUUUUAGAUUUUCCAUUGUUCUAAUAUCAGAUUUUCCACUGGUUGGGACACGAAGGAGGAUAUUUCAUUGCCUGCUGAUACAUGGUUCAGAAGUUUACUCUUGAUGGCUCAUUUUCUGCAUGUCCUAAGGGUGAUCCGUGUUGAUUAGAAAGAUGUUGAUUCAGUUCUCUGCUGCGACGUUGUCGCUGUGACACUGACAUCCGUACCUGUCAAUUCAAGUACUUUGGAGUCACUUGGAGCAAAAAAAAAGGCGAAAAAAUCUAUUUGAAACGUAAAGGGAGCAAAGAGGUCAAUUCACGUGCGAGCAACACUCGGAGCCAGCUGAGGUUACACCAGAAAGAGGUGAAUGAACUGACAGUUGAAUUAGGCUGUCGGUUUGUGUCAUAUAUGAUUUUGGCUGGCCCUUAUCCAGUUCAUCUGGGUGGCUAUAUCCAGAACUUUCUACACUAAACCUAGAAUUCUGUGUCUCAGUAUCCAGUUCAUAGUGUUUGCUGCUGGAAUUCAGAGAAGAUGAACUGAAGAAGAACACCAUGGGAAUAGAUCGAGUUUGCUGCUGUUGUAGAUGGAGGUAGUGAUGGUUCAGAUCGAUGGGAAAAGAUGAAGGAAUUUGGAUAAGAGGAUGAUUUAAGAAGACUUUCUGGUGCCGUUAGGGUUAGAAUGAAGAUGGGUUUGAAACAAAACUCAAAUUUAUGAAUGUCUAUGGUGAAUUUUGAUGUCAAGAAGAAUACAGGGAUGAAUCCGAAUUAGGGUUGGUGAUUAACAGAGAUGAACACAAGACUGAUGGAAUUAGAGAGUAACAAAGAAGAACCUGAUGCUGUUGGAUUCAGAGAUAAAUGGCGGAGGUUGAAGAGAUGGGUUAAAUUCGAUUGAGUUUGGUUUGAUUUUGGUGAAGAAAGAAAGGGGAUUCGAUGAAUUUAGGGUCUGAAUUGGUUUUCUGGGUUCAUGAGAAAUGAAGAAAUUGUUGAUGCUGAGGGGUUCUCGAACUAGGUUCUGUAAUGGGUUUGAACAGGAUGAAGUUCAUGAAAUUGAAGAUGGGUUUUACUCGGUUUGAGUUUUGAACCCCAAUAUCUGUUAGAACUUAGAAAGCUGUUACAAGAUUCACUGGAAGAAGAUGAUAAUGGUGAAAUUGAAAUUAGGGAUUUCCGCUAGUUGAUAUUGCUGGUAGAAGAAGGUAAUGAAGUUCAGAUGGAGGAAUUGAUGAAGGUUAUGACUGAGAUGGUGAAUGAAUACUUGUGUGUUUGAGAAUGGGUUUCUCUUGCUUGAUGAUUUACAGAGAUUGAGAUGGUUUUGAUGUGGAAUCUGCUCUUGAAAUCAGAAGAUGUGAGAUGGAAUUGCUCAGUGGUUGCAACUGAGGUAGCUGGUGAUGCUAUUAAGAUGGAGAUAGCUGAACUACAGUCAAGAAGGAGCUAAAACUGCUGGAUGAUUGCAGGUAGCCAGGAUUGGUGGAAUGGAACUGAAAUUGGGUUCUUGAAGGUGGUAUUUGCCAGUGAUAGUGGUUACAAUUCAGUAGUGGUGUUGAGAAGUUCAGAAACAGGUAGUGUUGUUGUUGGUGGAAUGAGAACUGGUGCAGUGACAGGGUCUUGUAAUGAGCUGCAGUUGAUAAUGCUAGUAAGCUCAAGUUGCAGCUGAAGUUGAUGUUACAGAGAAGCCAGAAUGAAUGCAGCUUUGCAGUCAUGUGAAGUUGAUAAAACUACAGGUGCGGGCUAGUAUAUGCUGGUGACAUUCAGGUGGAUCUUAAGACUCUUGCAGGAGCCAAGGAAUGGAGUCAGUUGUGUGGGUGUUUGGUUCCAAUGAGUUGCAGGUUGUUGCUGGUACUUGGCUUGGCAGAGAAGAGAAUGAGUUGAUUGAUCUGAAAUGCAGAGCUGAAGGGGUCAGUGCUGUUGUAGUAUGCAACUGGUCAGUGAAGUUGAAAUUGAAGUAAUGAAUGAAGCUGCAGUUUCAGGUGAUGUUGGAGGAGUAUGGCUAAUUGCAGGUAGAAGUCAGUGUUAGUGGUACUAGUUCUGGUAAGGUUAUAGUCGGGGGUUGACGUUACAGCUGAACAGAAGUGAAGGAUGCUAAGUCCGUAUGUAUGGUUGUGAUGCUGCCAACGGGUAUUGCAGGUUCAAGAGAGUUUGCUGUGGUUGUAUGUGUAGUUGCAGUCUGGAGCUGAAAUAUGAACUAUGGUGGUGACUUGGUUGAUGUUCCUGCUGCUUAAGACGAGAUGGAUUAGGUGGAGAAGAAGCUGAGAAGGAUUUGGACUGUUAGCUGCAAUGGACUGAUGAUACAGUUGUGUGUUGGUAAUGCUCACAAUUGGGAGACUGAGACAGGGAAGAAGAAAUGAAGAUUAUUGUGGAGAGCUGAAGCUGCAAAUGGUCAAGUUAUGCACUUUUCAUGAAACUGGUGGUGCAUCAUUGCUGCUAAGGGUCAUCAUGGCGCAAACCAACUCAGGCAGUGCAAAUGGCUUUGGCCAAGACCACUCAGCUCAGUCAGGCUUGUUAGACUCUGACUGAGGUCUGACUAGACCACUUGACUCACUUCAACUCGGUCUGACUUCGGAGUUGACCCGAGUUGACCCGUUUGAGUUUUGACCUGUAACUUUACAGUCACCUGAGAUAACUUUCUCAGCCAAAUUCCGGCAGGUGACCCCAGUUUUCCGGCGACUACUUUGGGCUUUGAAGACCUAGUUUUGGAAAGAUGAAAAGCUACAAAAGGAAAAAGUUUCUACUUCCUUUGGAUCACGUAUUUUUUGGGAGCUUUGGAGGAGAGCGGUGAUUCUACUAGCUUGAAGUUGAUUGAUGAAAGGAAUUGGAUUUGCUUAGGUUGAUACCUCUUAGGUUGAAAAAUAACUGCAGCUAAAUAUGUGAUUCAUUGGUGGAGACCGCAAAGGAGCAGGCUGGCUUAAUCAGUAAUAUCAUCGCGCAUGCCACAGCCACAUAGUCUUCUCAGGUUUCGUAUUUUUGUAUAGAAUAUAAAUGGAUCCCUUGCAAUCAUUUGUACUACUUUAAUGGUUCACUUUUUUACUAAUACUUUCUUAUAUUAGUUUUAAGCAAUCCUUUGUAUUAUUUGAGUGUUGGGCUGCUGCUUCCAUGACACUUGCUCCACGUCAAUUCCUCCUAACGAAUUCUCUUUCACUGACUAUGUAGACUUGGAACCCAAUUUUUUCAGCGUAUAUCUCACAGGCAAACUAUAUUUCAAACUUAACCUUGCUUACAACAUAUAUUCAUCUAAGAUGUCAGUACCUCAUUGUUCAAACAUCUGCGCUGGAGAUGAUGUUGGCAUACUGAAAACCAUGUCCAACGCUCAGCAGCUUUAUCGUCUCGGUGGCGGGAGCUGCCAAAUGCGGAACUCACCAUUGGGAAUCCUGGGUAUCUAUUCUUCCCUGUGGAUUUUAUGAUUCAUAACGGAUAUUAUAUUUCACACCAACAUGAGAACGUGUCCUUAACCACACCAAGCAUUUCUGUUUCGGGGGUGCGAAUACUAAAGAUUGCACUUUGGGUUCAUCUGCAAAUUCCCCUAUGGUAAAUGAUCCAAGUAGUCUACUCCAACCCAGGUCCUCAGGUCAUUGUUCUUUGUUACACUUUUGUGAAGGAAUCUCAAGUUAUCUUUAUUAAACUAUGUCAAUCUCUGCGAAGAAUUAUCAACCAAAUCAAACUGCAAGAUUUUGUGAUUUAACUUCUUAUGUCACUGACGCUGGAAAAUGGCCCUCUCUCCUCCACCAGUGCCAGCAAAGUGCUCACUAACGUUGGCCUAUUUGAAGUCGAUGAAAUCCGGGAAAGGUUGGCAAAAAGAGACUUCGAAGAAUGGAUGUUAAUCAGGUGUGAUUCGUUAUGUGGUAAUCUAUUCUCUAUUGAAAUUUAGGAAAGUCUCUUAUACUACAUAUGAACAUCAGUGUUUUGGAAUCUUAUUCAACUUGAAAACAUAGGUAAAAUCUUUAAUGGUGAUGUGUAAUCUUGAUUUACAAGAUAAAGUACACGAGAUGAAGUGUUUUAUAAGUCGAUAACAGAUCUUAUUAUCUUGAAGUAAACGACUUCGUGAAA